GUGGCAGAGAGGUAGCAGGAAUCCUGAGAGACGGCUGUAACGAGGAGUCACUGUAAUGCCAUAAUGGGAUGGAAAGUACUGCAAUGAUAACAGGGUAGCAAAGUCUUCAGCUGCAACAAAUGAGAACAAGCCCAAGUGCAGGAGCUACAGAAAUAAAAGAAAAGAGCUGCUUACCUUUGGAAGGCCUCAGAACAAGCGCCCGUGUCAUAAAAACAUGACUUCACUGUUGCUAUUGUACAUGGUGAGAUGGAGGACUGAACAACAGCUUCGUAGCUCCCCAAUUGCUCUUAACAAAGAUCCCACUACUGAUCCACGCAGUGCUGGUUAUCUGUUCUGUGCGCAAACAAGGGAGUGCAUCCUCUGGGGACUCUCAGUCGAGUUUCUUUCAUUAAGAAUAAAUUAAACAUUAAAAAAAAAAAAAAAAAGUGGAGGAGGAAAUUAAAAAAAAAGGUUUUUUUCUUUUUUGUUUGUUUGGAACGCAUUUCUGUAAAGCUCUGAUUGGAAUAAGCA
ensembl:lncRNA